rnacentral:rRNA from 1 species
GAGUAACACGUAUGCAACCUGCCCCUGUCAGGGGGACAACCCGCCGAAAGGCGGGCUAAACCCGCGUACAUGCCACCGGGGCAUCCCGGAGGCAGGAAAGGCUUCGGCCGGACAGGGAUGGGCAUGCGGCGCAUUAGGCAGUAGGCGGGGUAACGGCCCACCUAACCGACGAUGCGUAGGGGUUCUGAGAGGAAGGUCCCCCACACUGGUACUGAGACACGGACCAGACUCCUACGGGAGGCAGCAGUGAGGAAUAUUGGUCAAUGGUCGGGAGACUGAACCAGCCAAGCCGCGUGAGGGAUGAAGGUACAGAGUAUCGUAAACCUCUUUUGUCAGGGAACAAAGGCGGGGACGUGUCCCCGGAUGAGUGUACCUGAAGAAAAAGCAUCGGCUAACUCCGUGCCAGCAGCCGCGGUAAUACGGAGGAUGCGAGCGUUAUCCGGAUUUAUUGGGUUUAAAGGGUGCGCAGGCGGUCUGUUAAGUCAGCGGUCAAAGCCCGGGGCUCAACCCCGGCCCGCCGUUGAAACUGGCAGUCUCGAGUUGGAGAGAAGUAUGCGGAAUGCGCGGUGUAGCGGUGAAAUGCAUAGAUAUCGCGCAGAACUCCGAUUGCGAAGGCAGCAUGCCGGCUCCACACUGACGCUGAGGCACGAAAGCGUGGGUAUCGAACAGGAUUAGAUACCCUGGUAGUCCACGCAGUAAACGAU